rnacentral:tRNA from 1 species
GUUUCUAUAGUUGAAUAACAACAGUAGUAUUUCGGGCUACGGGUUCCAGUUGAAAUUUGGAUAGAGGCA